GGUUUCGUGGUAUACUUGGUUAUCACACCUGUCUAACAUACUAGUGGUCCUGUGUUCGAGCCCGGGCGAAAUCA